rnacentral:lncRNA from 1 species
GUUAUUCUCGUGGGAUUUUGUCUGAUGCUUGGUCCGUUUCUGUGUGUGUUACAUUGUAGUGUUGUGUCGUUGUUCUCCUCUUAUAUUUAUGCGUUUCCCUCAGUUUUAGUUUGUACCCCGAUUUUGUUUUUUGUCCAUGGAUUUAUGAGUUUGAACAGCGGUAUACUACUGUUGCCUUUAUUUAGCACAAUAAACCCUAAUGUUACUAUCAAUAUGUGUUUAAUAAAGGCAACAGUAGCUAGUAUACCGCUGUUCAAAAGUCAUAAAUCAAUUGAAAGAAAACAAAUCCGGGUUCAACUAUAAGAGGAAAACAACAAAACAUCAGAAACACUGAAGUGCAACAAAAACAAGCGACAAUGCAACAUACAUUAAGCGAAAAUAAAUCAUCCGGGC